AUUAUUUAUUACUAGUUCGUUUGUUAUUUCGGCUCCGAUUAAGUGGCAUUCCAAUCACUACUACAAUUUUAUGCAAAACUCUAAAAUAAGUCCCACGCUCAAUUAUGUUAGCUUAGUUACAUCAUUGGAAGAAAUCAUUAAAAAAAAUUAAUAAUAUCAUUAAUUAAAUCUUAUUCUAAAACUUAGGCUAAAAAAAUUAGUAUUAAAUUCCUCCAAAAUAAAGUCUAAUUUCAAAACUGGGCCAAGACUUCCUUUUAUUUUCAGCCCAAAGAACUACUUUAUUUUCGGCCCAAAGAUUAUGUCCUUCACCCACCUUAUAUCCCCAAUUACAAUUACUGAACCCAGCUAUUAUGAAGAGAACCCCAAUCCUAGUAUUAAAAAAAAAUCAGCCCACAUAUCCAUCAUCCCCAACACUUAUCGUCUCUCUCUUCUUCUCACUAAAUCACUAUUCAUCUUCUUCCCCAAAUGCACAAAAUAGGAAAACCUCUUCUCUAAUUUAUAGUUUCAGCUCCCCUCCUUCAUCUUCUCCUUUCCUCUCUCCCCUUUCUCGGUUCUCUCUCUUCCUCUAUCUCUCCUCUCCCUUUUUUUUUUCCUCUAUUUCUCUCUCUUCACCGCACCGCCACCGCAACCGUCGUCACGGAUCCGCCGUCGCUGCCCAGCUUCUCCUCCGUCACCGUUUUCCUCUCCCCCUCCUCUUUCUCUCUCUCUCUCGGCUUUCUCUCACUCUCCUCUCCGUUUCCCGCCGUCACCGCCAGCAUGCACAGCCGACGCUGACUCCCUUCCAGAUCUGCUGCCGAUUUCCGAAAGUUUCAGAUUCUAAAGAAUGAAAACAGUGACGAAUUUUUGGAGCGCGGGCUGUCACUGUCGGCGACGGAGGGCUUAGCUUGCUGCCGGGAGCUUCUCCGAGAAAAAAAACCCCGUUUAAGCUCGUGGCUUUGGUGUAGGAAAACAAAUAACAUCCAUAGUCUUCCCUGAUGAUGUACCGGACUUUCUUGGAGUACGAGCACGACCGUUGAACGGGCUGCGUGAACUUUUCCCCAAUUGUAAGGAUUUGAUAAAAUAGUAAUUUAGCGAACUUCGGAGAAAUGUCGGACAUUAAAAAUUUUUAUUUGGUGUUACCUUUUUUUUUUACUUGAAAUAUUCGUUCGAGAACGAA